rnacentral:rRNA from 1 species
AGUAGACGUUCAGAGUUUGAUCCUGGCUCAGGACGAACGCUGGCGGCGUGCCUAACACAUGCAAGUCACACGGGGUAGCAAUACCCAGUGGCGAACGGGUGCGUAACACGUGAGGAAUAUGACUUCCGGUGGGGGAUAGCCGGCCCAACGGCCGGGUAAUACCGCAUACGCUGCGCGAGGGGCAUCCCUUGCGUCGGAAAGCAGCAAUGCGCCGGAAAGGUACCUCGCGGCCUAUCAGCUAGUUGGUGAGGUAAUGGCUCACCAAGGCGACGACGGGUAGCUGGUCUGAGAGGAUGGCCAGCCACAUUGGGACUGAGACACGGCCCAG